UCUAGGAUGUUCAUGUACUUUUAGAAAUAAAAUUAAAACAGUAAAAACCGUUCCCCCCAAAAAAUUUCCAUUCCCCCCAAAUUUAUCUGCCCAUUUAAAAGCAACAAAGCUCUCUCUCUCUCUGUCUUCCCAAAACCUCAAACUCACUCCCAAAACUCAACCAAACCCUAGACCCUAAACCCCUAAUAAUGGCGUCGGACACCAGCAAACCCUUCUUCCUCGUCGAAUCCCGUCACCAGCUCUCCGGCCUCCGCUGCCCUCCCCUCUCAAAACCCGCGUCGUCGUCUUCGUCGGCCGUAGCUAAAUUUAUUCCUCACCUAGAUAUCCUUUUCAUUUAUUUAUUCACUUUCUUCUCGCCUGCGCUCAAUUUAUCGUGAAUUUUACUUUUCUUUUUACGAUUUUUAAUCUCUAUGGGAGACGAAGAAGUGAGAUCGGAGGAGUCCGUUAAUGGCGGUACGGAUGUCCUGAGCUCUUCAGACGAUUCUGCCUCGUGUGCUGGUCAUCUCGUUGUGAUGGCCCAUGGAAUCCUUGGAAGUACUGCAGACUGGCAAUAUGGAGCUAACCAAUUUAUUAAAGCUCUUCCUGACAAAGUGAUAGUCCAUUGUAAGU